UCCUCGUUUAAGCGAGGCAGUCUGUCCAGAGUGCUCCAAUCUCUCGAUCGGGUGGCUUAAUUCGAUGCAACGCGAAGAACCUUACCUAGGCUUGACAUGCUAGUUAAAGCGGGUGAAAGCCCGUGUCCGUAAGGGGCUAGCACAGGUGCUGCAUGGCUGUCGUCAGCUCGUGCCGUGAGGUGUUGGCUUAAGUGCCGCAACGAGCGCAACCCCUGCCUUUAGUUGCCAGCGGGUAAUGCCGGGGACUCUAAAGGGACUGCCGGGGACAACUCGGAGGAAGGUGGGGAUGACGUCAGCCUAUCGAGA
rnacentral:misc_RNA from 1 species